rnacentral:tRNA from 1 species
UCCCUGGUAGCUCAGUUGGUAAAGAAUCUGCCUGCAGUGCAGGAGACCUGGGUUCGAUCUCCAGUCAGGAAG